rnacentral:rRNA from 1 species
AUUGAACGCUGGCGGCAGGCCUAACACAUGCAAGUCGAGCGGAUGAAGGGAGCUUGCUCCUGGAUUCAGCGGCGGACGGGUGAGUAAUGCCUAGGAAUCUGCCUGGUAGUGGGGGAUAACGUCCGGAAACGGGCGCUAAUACCGAAUACGUCCUGAGGGAGAAAGUGGGGGAUCUUCGGACCUCACGCUAUCAGAUGAGCCUAGGUCGGAUUAGCUAGUUGGUGGGGUAAAGGCCUACCAAGGCGACGAUCCGUAACUGGUCUGAGAGGAUGAUCAGUCACACUGGAACUGAGACACGGUCCAGACUCCUACGGGAGGCAGCAGUGGGGAAUAUUGGACAAAGGGCGAAAGCCUGAUCCAGCCAUGCCGCGUGUGUGAAGAAGGUCUUCGGAUUGUAAAGCACUUUAAGUUGGGAGGAAGGGCAGUAAGUUAAUACCUUGCUGUUUUGACGUUACCAACAGAAUAAGCACCGGCUAACUUCGUG